CAUGUCCUUUUGAAUUUAAUUUAAGGUCUAAUCUGCUCAAUGAGGAGUUAAAUUGCCGCGGUAUUUUGACCGUGCAAAGGUAGCAUAAUAAUUAGUUUUUUUAUUGAAAGCUGGAAUGAAUGAUUGGACGAGAAAAUUUCUGUCUCUUUUUGAACUAUUAUUUAAUUUAACUUUUAAGUUAAAAGGCUUAAAUUUGUAUUAAAGACGAGAAGACCCUAUAGAGUUUAAUAAUUAUUUAAUUUUUGAUUAUUUAGUAUUUUUUAAUUUUUAGUUUAUUAAUUAUUUGGUUGGGGUGACUGGAAGAUUUAUUUAACUCUUCUAUUAAUGUUUAAUCAUUUAUUUUUGAAUAGUUUAUCUAUUUUUAAUAAAUUUAAGAUAAAUUACCUUAGGGAUAACAGCGUAAUUUCUCCUUAGAGUUCUUAUUAAUGGAGGAGUUUGCGACCUCGAUGUUGGAUUAAAAUUUAUUUUUGGUGCAGAAGCUAGAAUAUUGAGUCUGUUCGACUCUUGAAAUUUUACAUGAUCUGAGU
rnacentral:rRNA from 1 species